rnacentral:rRNA from 1 species
GACGGAGGGUGCUAGCGUUGUUCGGAAUUACUGGGCGUAAAGGGCGCGUAGGCGGCUUCGGCAGUCGGGUGUGAAAGCCCGGGGCUCAACCCCGGAACGGCACCCGAGACUCCGGGGCUCGAGACCGGGAGAGGAGGGUGGAAUACCCAGUGUAGAGGUGAAAUUCGUAGAUAUUGGGUGGAACACCGGUGGCGAAAGCGGCUCUCUGGCCCGGAUCUGACGCCGAGGCGCGAAAGCGUGGGGAGCAAACAGG